CACAGCAAACUGGCCCUAGGGGUUGACAGAGGCCUUGCCUUCAAAGGGCAAAGUCCGGUGUGUGCACCCCGCUUCCACAGAGAGGACCGAGGCUCAGGGCAAACCACCUGAGGCCGCAAGGCAGAAUGAUCUACACCACCCCCGGGACAUCAGAGACUACACCGGCAAGGCCGGGAACAUCACAAGGGUCAAAGAAAAUGGACUAGUCCCAGCACACCGCCUGACCCCAAAGAACGAUCUCCAUCGCCUUUGGGAAGCUGGGUCCCACCACCCUGACAAGGCUUCACAGAAUCCAGAGGCAAGCAAGGCAUGAGUGAAGGAUGGGUGGCCCCUACUCCUGCAGCAUGUCUCCAGAUGGUCCCUGAACCGCCAGUGGAAGGACCCUCAAGAUUGGUUCAGACUUGGUCCAUGGUGUUGGAAGUCCAUGACUUUGGUGGCCAACGUUCUUCAGUCUUCACAAUGAGCUACAGUUCACGGAGACACGGAAGCACAGUGGCCCUCAUUCUGGGAGCAGGCCUCAUUCCUGAACCGAAUUCUUUUUAUUGCAAUGGAACAUCUCUACCCACAGGGGUGUGGGGGGCAAUCGUUUCACCUUUGCUUGCUUCCCAACCUCCUCAGCUGCUGUGACUACCGCAGAUUCCAGAACUUACCUCCACACUAUCCCUCUGUCUUUCCUGCCUCCUCCUGUGUCGGCUCAUCCUGCUCUUGAUCUUCCACAUCCACCCUCCCUCAGGACCCCUCACCCCCGCUCCUCCCUCAGGACCUCCACCCCCCGGCCCAUGUGAGGCAGGCUGAAGUCUGGUUCUCUGUGAUUAAAAACUAGGCCUUGUCAUUUGAGGUCCAGUAUGAGUGGAUUGACUCUUAAAAAGAAGCUAAAGAAAUUGUACCUGGAGACCAAACUUCUCCAUAACAGCCAGGGCGGCAGACAUCCAGUCAGCAGUGCACUCUGGGGUGGAUACUUUGGGCCAUGACAGGAGGCAGGGUACAAAAAUCUCAGAAAGUUCUAUGUACCAAAUACACAGGUGAAUCACGGACCCCUGGGACAACUGGAUUCUUUUCAUUUUUAAGAUGAAUUAGCAGCUACUGUUCCAUUUCAAUACUCUGGUCAGCUAGGAACAGACAAAGCUUCUAUUCAUCGAAGGGCCAUGUUCCCAGGUGACAUCACAGCGGACAUUUGUGGUUUAAGUACCUGGUUAAAGUUAAACUUCGUUAAACACCUCUCUUACAGCAUUUUCACAUCCAUGACUGAGAACUCUGAGCUGUUUAAGUUAUUUCCAGAGGAAAAGAUAUAAGAAAUGUAGUAUGUAAACAACACACACAAACACACACAGAGGCACACACACACAUACACACGUACCUACCAACAACAAAAAUAAC